rnacentral:rRNA from 1 species
AUUGAACGCUGGCGGCAGGCUUAACGCAUGCAAGUCGGGCGGGGGAAGGUAGCUUGCUACCGGACCUAGCGGCGGACGGGUGAGUAAUGCUUAGGAAUCUGCCUAUUAGUGGGGGACAACAUCUCGAAAGGGAUGCUAAUACCGCAUACGUCCUACGGGAGAAAGCAGGGGGUCUUCGGACCUUGCGCUAAUAGAUGAGCCUAAGUCGGAUUAGCUAGUUGGUGGGGUAAAGGCCUACCAAGGCGACGAUCUGUAGCGGGUCUGAGAGGAUGAUCCGCCACACUGGGACUGAGACACGGCCCAGACUCCUACGGGAGGCAGCAGUGGGGAAUAUUGGACAAUGGGGGGAACCCUGAUCCAGCCAUGCCGCGUGUGUGAAGAAGGCCUUAUGGUUGUAAAGCACUUUAAGCGAGGAGGAGGCUACUUUAGUUAAUACCUAAAGAUAGUGGACGUUACUCGCAGAAUAAGCACCGGCUAACUCUGUGCCAGCCGCCGCCGUAA